UCUUUAGUACUCGUAUCAAUUUUACUCUAAAUUAUUAUUAAAGCUACAGUGAUGUUGACUGGAACACGUUAUUGUUUGAUGGUUUGUUUUUCAGGUUUCCAACACCGCCCAAACUUGGGGUCGCAGAUACAUCAUCUUAUCUUAAUAGUUUUUCAGGAAUUGCGACAACCGGACGAUGACCAUUACCUCCGCCACAGGCUGUAGGGGGCGCAGUUUCUCUCUUCUCUCCAUAAUUCGUGAAUCCUGUCAGGUCCUCGACUACCGCCGCCAUCCCUAGGGUUGAAUCUACGUGCGUCACGACGUGAGUGUAAUUCCGUCGGACUGGCCACCACUACGAUCGCCAACCCUACGGUCGUACUUUGUUUCAUCUCGUCUUAAUCGAAUUCGGACAACCGGACGAUGAGCAUCACCUCUCUUCAUAAGUCGUGAAUCCUGUCAGAGGACCUCGACUACCACCGCCAACCCUAGGGCUGCAUGUACGUGCAUGACGUCAUAAGCGUAAUUCAUCCGACUGACGACCACUACGAUCGCCAAUCCUAGGGUCAUAUUGUAUUUCAUCUCGUCUGAAUCGGUGAGUU